rnacentral:rRNA from 1 species
CCUUGAAAUACCACCCUUUAAUGUUUGAUGUUCUAACGUGGACCCGUAAUCCGGGUUGCGGACAGUGUCUGGUGGGUAGUUUGACUGGGGCGGUCUCCUCCUAAAGAGUAACGGAGGAGCACGAAGGUUGGCUAAUCCUGGUCGGACAUCAGGAGGUUAGUGCAAUGGCAUAAGCCAGCUUGACUGCGAGCGUGACGGCGCGAGCAGGUGCGAAAGCAGGUCAUAGUGAUCCGGUGGUUCUGAAUGGAAGGGCCAUCGCUCAACGGAUAAAAGGUACUCCGGGGAUAACAGGCUGAUACCGCCCAAGAGUUCAUAUCGACGGCGGUGUUUGGCACCUCGAUGUCGGCUCAUCACAUCCUGGGGCUGAAGUAGGUCCCAAGGGUAUGGCUGUUCGCCAUUUAAAGUGGUACGCGAGCUGGGUUUAGAACGUCGUGAGACAGUUCGGUCCCUAUCUGCCGUGGGCGCUGGAGAACUGAGGGGGGCUGCUCCUAGUACGAGAGGACCGGAGUGGACGCAUCACUGGUGUUCGGGUUGUCAUGCCAAUGGCACUGCCCGGUAGCUAAAUGCGGAAGAGAUAAGUGCUGAAAGCAUCUAAGCACGAAACUUGCCCCGAGAUGAGUUCUCCCUGAGACUUAGAGUCUCCUGAAGGAACGUUGAAGACGACGACGUUGAUAGGCCGGGUGUGUAAGCGCAGCGAUGCGUUGAGCUAACCGGUACUAAUGAACCGUGAGG